UCCUUUAUAGCCAAAAGCUCCGUGUCUGUAUAUUAAAGAUUUUGCAACCCUUUCCCUCGCACAUAAACGUAUCCAGAAGCUAAUAAGCCAAAGACAUGGUUAUUAAUAUCGAGAGUCAAGGAUGACUCAUGAGGCUCCUCCAACAAUCAAGGAUGAAAAUCUAAGGGGUUGGAGGACAAGUACUUAAUUCAGCUCGACACUCAUGAGCGGAACAGCCGUCCCCUGCCUGUCUUGCAGCGUGCAUAGUAGAUUAGAUUAGGGUCCUAUCCUUUCACACUUCAUAGUUCUCAAACAAACCUUUUCCGUCCCGUAAUGCGAUUUUCAUUCAGCCACCUUCUUUGUUAAAUUUAAAGCCUGCGAGUUUGGGGACUGUCUGUAUCGUUCACCAGUGGCCCAAGCGUCCCUUCCAAAUGAAGGCCAUCACAGUUGUCCCAUGUUGCCAGUCGUGCGUUAGCAUCAGCAGGGCGCAUUCUGCACAUUUAUGACUUCAGAGGAACAAGAUGGGUAACCUCUGUUCUCUCUGCUCUUACCUGUUGGAAUGUGUGCUUACGUAACUGGCGAAUGAAUGAAUAGACUAUGGGGAAAACCCACUUGUUACCCUGUAAGGAUUUCUGUUCUAGAGGAAGUGGUGCAGGUGGGGAAAGAAAACAAUAUAAAAUGGUGGUUAAGUAAGCACCGAGCUGGGAUAAAAAUGAGAGCUCCUCCAAGUUGAGGCUCUACUCUUCCUAAUUAUGAUUACCCAAGCUAGUGUGUGUGCGUGUGCGUGUGCGUGUGCACAGUGAUUUCAGCAGUUACCGCAUUUCCUGUCUAUCUGGAUGAAUCAUGUAUUUCUUUUCUCUUUUCUCUGCUCCAGGUUUGCCAAAAUUUGCCAACCAUGUAGGACGGUCUCUGACGAAUGACUUCAAUCUGAAUAUCCAGAAAUUGUCUGAUUUGCAGUCUGCUUGGAAUCAACUGCUUUAUUGGAAGGGAGUGAGCAACUACAUUAUUGAGAAAAAACCAUUUUAAUUCGGUUAUGUGUCUUUUUUUUUUUAAUCUCAUUUUUGCUUUCCUAAAUUGUAAUCUGCUCAGGAAGAUAAUAUCAAUUCGUCUUUACUUUGCCAAUGCUAGCAGUUGAAAGGGAACUGGCUGGGAAAUGUGAUAGAGAACCAACCACGUGGGUAGAUGGUCCCCUCUUAUUCCCUGAGGCAUUGUUUUCAUACAUGAAUUUUCAUCUAGAGAAUUCCAUGAGGCGCUUUUAACAAUGCAAAUUCCUGGGCCUGCCUACAAACCCCUAUCCCUUGCUGAACUGUUUAAUUAAUACCAACUUGAAAGUAAAUAUGGG
rnacentral:lncRNA from 1 species